rnacentral:snRNA from 1 species
GUGCUAGCUUUGGUGGCACAUGUACCCAAACUGGAACAAUGUAGAGAUGAUACGGAGGAGAUUAGCAUGGCCCUGCGCAAGGAUGACAUGCGAAUUCGUGAGUGUGAAAAUAAAGAA